UCUCUGACUGUUAGUGAUGCUCAUCGCUACUGAGGUUGAUUAUUGUUUCUAGACCUUUUCAGGCGACAGAACUGGAAGUGGGGUGGGGAAUCUAUUGCAUGUGGGUAACAAUCGUCUGUGCCUUGUUGGAGGACGUCAUUGGGAGGAUGUGACCACUGGUUGACCUGUGAGCUGGACGCAGGCAGUCGAAGGCGCCCCAUCCCGCUCCUGUGUUUGGAAGGUGCCUUCCACUCGCCUUCUCCGCACUAGAAGCUGCUCCAAAGACACAGCCUUGAGAGACAAGGUGUUGCUGAGAACAUCUAAGUUUUAAAAAGGUGUUUGAUCUUGGUUUGAAGCAGUCGUAGGCUGAUUUUGUUCCAUGGACAUGCGUUUCUGGUGUGCAUCUCUUCUCCUGGGCGCGGGGCCUGAUCCUAGAAGUGAGCCCUCGGUGUUCACUCAGACAUCUGCCAGCCGCCCAGUACUGGAGAGGACCACACUCUUCCCCGUUUCAGCUGCUGUUUCAGAUGGACCCUCCGUGUUUUCUAGGGAACACCCGUGGGCUCUUUCUGAGAGGU